rnacentral:rRNA from 1 species
AGAGUUUGAUCCUGGNUCAGAACAAACGCUGGCGGCGUGUCUUAAGCAUGCAAGUCGAGCGGCAGGCGCAGCAAUGCGCUGAGAGCGGCGGACUGGUGAGUAACGCGUGGGUAAUCUACCUUUGGCAUGGUGAUAGCCACUAGAAAUAGUGGGUAAUACCGAAUACGUUCCCUGGGGGGAGAUUUCAGGGAAGAAAGGGUGCUACGGCACCGGCCGGAGAUGAGCUCGCGUCCCAUUAGCUAGCUGGUGAGGUAACGGCCCACCAAGGCGAUGAUGGGUAGCCGGCCUGAGAGGGUGUACGGCCACACUGGGACUGAGAUACGGCCCAGACUCCUACGGGAGGCAGCAGCUAAGAAUAUUCCGCAAUGGACGAAAGUCUGACGGAGCGACGCCGCGUGGAUGAUGAAGGCCGAAAGGUUGUAAAGUCCUUUUGCUGGGGAAGAAUAAGUGUGGGAGGGAAUGCCCGCAUGAUGACAUGAACCGGCGAAUAAGCCCCGGCCAACUACGUGCCAGCAGCCGCGGUAACACGUAGGGCGGCGAGCGUUGCUCGGAAUUACUGGGCGUAAAGGGCAUGUAGGCGGUCUGGUAAGCCUGGCGUGAAAGGCCACAGCUCAACUGUGGGAUUGCGUUGGGAACUGCUGGGCUUGAGUUAUGGAGAGGGAGCUAGAAUUCCUGGUGUAGGGGUGAAAUCUGUAGAUAUCAGGAAGAAUACCGAUGGCGAAGGCAAGCUCCUGGCCGAUGACUGACGCUGAGGUGCNAAAGUGUGGGGGAUCAAACAGGAUUAAAUACCCUGGUUAGUCCNCACUGUAAAC